UACGAAGGGGGGCUAGCGUUGCUCGGAAUCACUGGGCGUAAAGGGUGCGUAGGCGGGUCUUUUAAGUCAGGGGGUGAAAUCCUGGAGCUCAACUCCAGAACUGCCUUUGAUACUGAGGAUCUUGAGUUCGGGAGAGGUGAGUGGAACUGCGAGUGUAGAGGUGAAAUUCGUAGAUAUUCGCAAGAACACCAGUGGCGAAGGCGGCUCACUGGCCCGAUACUGACGCUGAGGUGCGAAAGCGUGGGGAGCAAACAGGG
rnacentral:rRNA from 1 species